rnacentral:snoRNA from 1 species
CAAUAUUACUUGAUGACGCAUAGUUCAUAUGAUUAAAAUCAUGAUAACUUAACUUUGUGGAAUUCUUUCGCCCCUAUCUGAACAUAAAACUC